GAAACGAAGUGAUCUAUCCAUGAGCAAGUUGAAGCUAGUGUAAGAACUAGUGGAGGACUGAACCCAUAGGCGUUGAAAAGCCCCGGGAUGACUUGUGGAUAGGGGUGAAAGGCCAAUCAAACUUCGUGAUAGCUGGUUCUCUCCGAAAUAUAUUUAGGUAUAGCGUUGUGUCGUAAUAUAAGGGGGUAGAGCACUGAAUGGGCUAGGGCAUACACCAAUGUACCAAACCCUAUCAAACUCCGAAUACCUUAUAUGUAAUCACAGCAGUCAGGCGGCGAGUGAUAAAAUCCGUCGUCAAGAGGGAAACAACCCAGACUACCAGCUAAGGUCCCUAAAUCUUACUUAAGUGGAAAACGAUGUGAAGUUACUUAAACAACCAGGAGGUUGGCUUAGAAGCAGCCAUCCUUUAAAGAAAGCGUAAUAGCUCACUGGUCUAGUGAUUUUGCGCGGAAAAUAUAACGGGGCUAAAGUAAGUACCGAAGCUGUAGACUUGCACACAACUUAGAUUAUUUAAGUUUAGAAUAAGUAGUUUAAGUUGUGUGCAAGUGGUAGGAGAGCGUUCUAUUUGCGUCGAAGGUAUACCGGUAAGGAGUGCUGGAGCGAAUAGAAGUGAGCAUGCAGGCAUGAGUAGCGAUAAUUAAUGUGAGAAUCAUUAACGCCGUAAACCCAAGGUUUCCUACGCGAUGCUCGUCAUCGUAGGGUUAGUCGGGUCCUAAGUCGAGUCCGAAAGGGGUAGACGAUGGCAAAUUGGUUAAUAUUCCAAUACCAACAUUAGUGUGCGAUGGAAGGACGCUUAGGGCUAAGGGGGCUAGCGGAUGGAAGUGCUAGUCUAAGGUCGUAGGAGGUUAUACAGGCAAAUCCGUAUAACAAUACUCCGAGAACUGAAAGGCUUUUUGAAGUCUUCGGAUGGAUAGAAGAACCCCUGAUGCCGUCGAGCCAAGAAAAGUUUCUAAGUUUAGCUAAUGUUGCCCGUACCGUAAACCGACACAGGUGGGUGGGAUGAGUAUUCUAAGGCGCGUGGAAGAACUCUCUUUAAGGAACUCUGCAAAAUAGCACCGUAUCUUCGGUAUAAGGUGUGGUUAGCUUCGUACUAGGAUUUACUCCGAAAGCGAAGAAACUUACAACAAAGAGUCCCUCCCGACUGUUUACCAAAAACACAGCACUCUGCUAACUCGUAAGAGGAUGUAUAGGGUGUGACGCCUGCCCGGUGCUCGAAGGUUAAUUGAUGGGGUUAGCAUUAGCGAAGCUCUUGAUCGAAGCCCGAGUAAACGGCGGCCGUAACUAUAACGGUCCUAAGGUAGCGAAAUUCCUUGUCGGUUAAAUACCGACCUGCAUGAAUGGCGUAACGAGAUGGGAGCUGUCUCAAAGAGGGAUCCAGUGAAAUUGUAGUGGAGGUGAAAAUUCCUCCUACCCGCGGCAAGACGGAAAGACCCCGUGGACCUUUACUACAGCUUGACACUGCUACUUGGAUAAGAAUGUGCAGGAUAGGUGGGAGGCUUUGAGUAUAUGACGCCAGUUGUAUAUGAGCCAUUGUUGAGAUACCACUCUUUCUUAUUUGGGUAGCUAACCAGCUUGAGUUAUCCUCAAGUGGGACAAUGUCUGGUGGGUAGUUUGACUGGGGCGGUCGCCUCCCAAAUAAUAACGGAGGCUUACAAAGGUUGGCUCAGAACGGUUGGAAAUCGUUCGUAGAGUAUAAAGGUAUAAGCCAGCUUAACUGCAAGACAUACAAGUCAAGCAGAGACGAAAGUCGGUCUUAGUGAUCCGGUGGUUCUGUGUGGAAGGGCCAUCGCUCAAAGGAUAAAAGGUACCCCGGGGAUAACAGGCUGAUCUCCCCCAAGAGCUCACAUCGACGGGGAGGUUUGGCACCUCGAUGUCGGCUCAUCGCAUCCUGGGGCUGGAGCAGGUCCCAAGGGUAUGGCUGUUCGCCAUUUAAAGCGGUACGCGAGCUGGGUUCAGAACGUCGUGAGACAGUUCGGUCCCUAUCUGCCGUGGGCGUAAGAAGAUUGAAGAGAUUUGACCCUAGUACGAGAGGACCGGGUUGAACAAACCACUGGUGUAGCUGUUGUUCUGCCAAGAGCAUCGCAGCGUAGCUAAGUUUGGAAAGGAUAAACGCUGAAAGCAUCUAAGCGUGAAGCCAACUCUAAGAUGAAUCUUCUCUAAGCUCUCUAGAAGACUACUAGUUUGAUAGGCUGGGUGUGUAAUGGAUGAAAGUCCUUUAGCUGACCAGUACUAAUAGAGCGUUUGGCUUAUCUUU
rnacentral:rRNA from 1 species